rnacentral:ncRNA from 2 species
ACCCGGACACGCGACUGGCGGCAUCGAGGAUGGGGACCACCAUCGGGGAGCUUGCCGUGGGGGCCGUCCGCCUGGGUGCCCACG